AUUGAACGCUGGCGGCAGGCCUAACACAUGCAAUUCGAGCGAGCGGCGGACGGGUGAGUAAUGUAUGGAGACUGCCCGAUAGAGGGGGAUAACUACUGGAAACGGUAGCUAAUACCGCAUACUAUCGGAUAACCCAUAUUGGAUUAGCUAGUAGGUGAGGUAAUGGCUAACCUAGGGGACGAUCCCUAGCUGGUCUGAGAGGAUGAUAAGCCACCAUGGGAAUGAGAAACGGCCCAGACUCCUACGGAGGCAGCAGUGGGGAAUAUUGCACAAUGGGGGCAAGACUGAUGCAGCCAUGCCGCGUGUAUGAAGAAGGCCCUAGGGUUGGAAAGUACUUUCAGCGGGGAGGCGUUACCCGCAGAAGAAGCACCGGCUAACUACGUGCCAGCAGCCGCGGUAAUAC
rnacentral:rRNA from 1 species